UAAUUGAAUAUAUAAAAUAUUGAAAAGUUCGCAGAGAAUAACAAGUGGUCUUGAUAUUUUUAAGCGGCUUCAUACAUACCCUCUUUACCAUUAAAUAGUCGAUUAAAAUGAUGUGCUUCCUCGAAACGAAUAUGGCUUACAAAAAAAGGGCAACGAGAGAAGAAGGAUAACACAUGCGAGGUAAAUGCUUAGGGGAUACGCGGGACGUCGUAAUCGAUACGCAAUUACAUUAUCGUGUAAGCGGCAUGAAGCGGUUGCUCUCAAGAUAUAAGGCGAUUAAACUCUGAAUUAAUGGAGGACACGCGUAACGAAGCUUCGCCUUGAAAUUAGAUCGUUCGAAGAAGCACGAAAUCCGCUCAGAGUACCAAGUAUCAAGAAGGACGACACGCUAGCAAAGGAUGAACACGAUCGAGGGAAACGAGGAGUGGGGAGGGCAUGAUCGUCGAAUAGGAGUCUGGCCACGUUGCUCGGCCAAGAAUUCGCGAAACAUUUUUGGAACAUCAUUUCGUAUCCGAUUAUGGAAUGACGACAGAACGAGAACGGUCGACUGGCCGACCAACUGGCUGGCAGCUGACAGGACCUCUAUAGAAAAGCAAUAACUCGUGCCCGUAGGAAAUGAACGAUAGGCAAUCGACUAUUGGAUAUCGAACCGAGAAUUCGAUACGUAACUAACGCUGCUUGUCUCCUAGUAGGUCGCUAGCUAUGGGUCGGCCACUUGUCCGCUUCUGCUCCUGCCUCUGCCGGUAGUAACUUGCUAGAUGUAGGUUGAUUGCCUGCCCGAUAGGGGCGCGCUCUUCUUUUUUCUUCUUUUCUCACGUUUCAUGACCGAGGUAAACUUGAUUUUCGUCAGGCACGUGUAUCAAUGGCCAAAAAUUUUCGUCUACGUGUUCCAAUACUCCGAGCGUAACCAAAAAAUUAAAAUUUUGUAAUAAAAUUUCUAUCUAUAGCUCCAAGUUUUAAUCAAUAUCAAAAUUAGCGGAAGAUUCGAUGAAGAUGUAAAGUGAUUCUAAAAUUUUGAUUGGUAGUAUACACGGCAUACCUUCGAAAUCAUGGACGAUGUUAUAUGCAAAAAUAAAUCGAAAAAUAAGAAUAAUACUUUUUUAAGAUUUCGUUUUGAGACAUAAAUCGAGAGGUACAGCGAGAUCGUAAAAUUAGUCCAGCGAAAAAACCGAAUAUGUUCCUAUUGAAGAAUCCCAGGGACAUAAAAAAAUUUCAUCACGACGCGAAUCGUAUCAUCGGAUUGACACGAUAGUUUACGAUCAAUCCAUAUCUCCCAAUGCAGGAAGAUAUAAACUCGAAAGAAUCUACUUACAUCUAUGUUAUUGCCAGUCUUCAUUUCUUCUUUACCUCUUUUCUCGAGAUUCACGAUUCUUGUCAGAUUUAUUCGAUAUAUUUUCCAAAUUUCCGACUCGUUCGAAGAAGUAUCAAUUUUCGAAUGAGUCCUGUCAGACUUUUUUUUUUUUUUUUU